rnacentral:lncRNA from 1 species
CGGCUCUCGGCGAGGUGGAGGAUGAAGGGCUCCUGGCGUCGCUGUUCCGGGACCGCUUCCCCGAGGCCCAGUGGCGCGAGCGGCCCGAUGUGGGCCGCUACCUCCGGGAGUUGAGCGGCUCGGGGCUGGAGCGGCUGCGGCGCGAGCCCGAGCGCCUGGCGGAGGAGCGGGCGCAGCUGCUGCAGCAGACGCGCGACUUGGCCUUCGCUAACUACAAGACCUUCAUCCGCGGCGCCGAGUGCACCGAGCGCAUCCACCGCCUGUUUGGCGACGUGGAGGCGUCGCUCGGCCGCCUGCUCGACCGUUUGCCCAGCUUCCAGCAGAGCUGCAGGUGCGACGCGCCUGGCGCUAAAGGGGUUUUAUAACUGUAAAAGCUGACAUUUACGAUGGUAGAAAUAACUAACACAUAAAGCGUUUACCACGUUC